rnacentral:rRNA from 1 species
UACGAAGGGUGCGAGCGUUAUUCGGAAUCAUUGGGCGUAAAGGGUGCGUAGGCGGCAUGAUAAGUCAACUGUUAAAUUUCCCGGCCUAACUGGGAGCAUGCGGUAGAUACUGUCUGUGCUAGAGAAUGGAAGAGAGAAGUGGAAUUCUUGGAGUAGCGGUAAAAUGCGUAGAUCUCAAGAGGAACACCGAUGGCGAAAGGCAGCUUCUUG